rnacentral:rRNA from 1 species
AUUGAACGCUGGCGGCAGGCCUAACACAUGCAAGUCGAACGAGUGGCGGACGGGUGAGUAAUGUCUGGGAAACUGCCCGAUGGAGGGGGAUAACUACUGGAAACGGUAGCUAAUACCGCAUACCAUCGGAUGUGCCCAUAUGGGCUUCGCUAGUAGGUGGGGUAACGGCUCACCUAGUCGACGAUCCCUAGCUGGUCUGAGCGGAUGAUCAGCCACACUGGAACUGAGACACGGUCCAGACUCCUACGGGAGGCAGCAGUGGGUAAUAUUGCACAAUGGGCGCAAGCCUAAUGAAGCCAUGCCGCGUGUAUGAAGAAGGCCUUCGGGUUGUAAAGUACUUUCAGCGGGGAGGCGUUACUCGCAGAAGAAGCACCGGCUAACUCCGUGCCAGCAGCCGCGGUAAUUC